UACGGGGGGGGCAAGCGUUGUUCGGAAUUACUGGGCGUAAAGCGCACGUAGGCGGCUUUGUAAGUUAGAGGUGAAAGCCCGGGGCUCAACUCCGGAAUUGCCUUUAAGACUGCAUCGCUUGAAUCCAGGAGAGGUGAGUGGAAUUCCGAGUGUAGAGGUGAAAUUCGUAGAUAUUCGGAAGAACACCAGUGGCGAAGGCGGCUCACUGGACUGGUAUUGACGCUGAGGUGCGAAAGCGUGGGGAGCAAACAGG
rnacentral:rRNA from 1 species